GGUACUGGGCUCGGCCUGGCCCGGGAGGAAUUUGAAUCCGGCGUAGGGAAGCACCCCUUGCGGCCAGUACUGAGACACGGAGAGGGGGCGCCGCCAGGACAUUGGACGCCCGGAGCCGGCUUCGGGCCCCUUAGGAAAGCUAGCUACCUUUUCCCGUCCCUCCUUUGGAUGAGUUGGAGCGCUGGGGUUGAAGUUUUAUGCGCCUUUUGUGAUGACACUGACUCUUGCUCCCAGGCUGCUGACUUUCACUUUUCUUUUGUCUCCCUUUACCUGCAGGCGUCGGAGGAAUGGCCGCGGCGGCCCCUGCUCUGGGCAGCUGAGUCUGUGCAGUGCGGGAACCUGGCCUUGCACAGCGGCGCCCGGAGGCCUAAGACCCGCCCGUCCCUUCCUCCACUCCUCUUACUCUUGUGCGGUGUGCAUUUGUGAAGUGGCUGCGGGGCACCGGCGGCGUUGGGCAGUCGCGAAAGGGGGCUCCUUCCGGUCCGGGGACUCAGCCUCAGCACCCCAGCGCAGGGCGCCCUGGCCCCACGAAGCAAUGGAGCCUUGGGAGGUGGAACUGGGUGAGAAGCUGCCUGCAGCCACCUAAGAGGACUUUGGAAAGAAUGCCCAGCCUGGGUAAUGGAAAGAGACCCUGGAAAUGCAAUGCAGGCUCUGGGAGGCUGACAUGUCCCCCUUCUCUGCUGCUGAUAUGUUGUAUCUGUCUGCAGUUAAAACCAGAAAUAAAACUGCACUCGUUUUGCAGUUGAUGUCAAUAUCCUUAUCUUUAGCUGUUGUUUUACAGCCAGAUCAUUGCCCCUUUGCAGAUGUUAAGAGAGAACAGGACUGGAUGAAGGGGAUCUGUUCUUUGUAUCUAUACUCAGAGCACUCUCAAACUGGGGACCUGUCCAGACUCUGGAAACACACACAGACACACACACUGUUUCACUGUUCACGAGUCUCCCAGAAAUGCUUGGAGCUUCCUGUUCCCUGUUCUCAAUCUUUUGGGAAUGUGCUAUUAAUGGGUUAAUAAUAAAUGCCAGCAGGUGGAGCCUCACCAGAUACUUGUAGGUAAGACAGACCCAUUAAUUAGCUCACCCCCACCCUUUAAUUUCCUUGGAGAUGAGUGACAGCCAUAGCCAAGGAUCUAAGUUCACUUUUCCAUGAUUUUGUGGCCUCCCUAAAGUAGUGUUAGGGAGAGGAAGAUCAUGCAUGUAUCUCUAGAAGCCAAGACUAGCCUAAUUAUUAUGGAUGCCACCUGCUUCCAUAAUUUGUAAAUGCCCACUUCCUAAACCCUAAUUUGGGAAGGAAAGAAUUUAAUUCCUAAUCCACAUAAGGGGACUUGGUAGCCUGCAGGUGGCCUCCCGUGGAAAGGUGAGUAACUUGUUCUUUGUGAGAGGUCCCUUCCUGCCCCACGGAACCACUCACCUCCCUGCUAACGCUGGAAAGAG
rnacentral:lncRNA from 1 species